GUCAUGAUGGCCGAGCGGUCUAAGGCGCUGCGUUCAGGUCGCAGUCCGGUCUUCCGGGCGUGGGUUCGAAUCCCACUUCUGACA
rnacentral:tRNA from 1 species